rnacentral:rRNA from 1 species
UGCCAGACUCCUACGGGAGGCAGCAGUGGGGAAUAUUGCACAAUGGGGGAAACCCUGAUGCAGCGACGCCGCGUGAGUGAGGAAGUAUUUCGGUAUGUAAAGCUCUUUCAGCAGGGAAGAAAAUGACGGUACCUGACUAAGAAGCCCCGGCUAACUACGUGCCAGCAGCCGCGGUAAUACGUAGGGGGCAAGCGUUGUCCGGAUUUACUGGGUGUAAAGGGAGCGUAGACGGCUAGUCAAGUCAGAAGUGAAAGCCCAGGGCUCAACCCCGGGACUGCAUUUGAAACUGUCAGGCUGGAGUGCAGGAGAGGUAAGUGGAAUUCCCAGUGUAGCGGUGAAAUGCGUAGAUAUUAGGAGGAACACCAGUGGCGAAGGCGGCUUACUGGACUGUAGCUGACGUUGAGGCUCGAAAGCGUGGGGAGCAAACAGGAUUAGAUCCCCCCGUA